rnacentral:rRNA from 1 species
GACGAACGCUGGCGGCGUGCUUAACACAUGCAAGUCGAACGGAAAGGCUCCAGCUUGCUGGAGUACUCGAGUGGCGAACGGGUGAGUAACACGUGGGUAAUCUGCCCUGCACUCUGGGAUAAGCCUGGGAAACUGGGUCUAAUACUGGAUAUGACCUUUCUCCUUAUGGGGUUUGGUGGAAAGUUUUUCGGUGUAGGAUGAGCCCGCGGCCUAUCAGCUUGUUGGUGGGGUGAUGGCCUACCAAGGCGACGACGGGUAGCCGGCCUGAGAGGGUGAUCGGCCACAUUGGGACUGAGAUACGGCCCAGACUCCUACGGGAGGCAGCAGUGGGGAAUAUUGCACAAUGGGCGGAAGCCUGAUGCAGCGACGCCGCGUGAGGGAUGACGGCCUUCGGGUUGUAAACCUCUUUCAGCAGGGACGAAGCGUAAGUGACGGUACCUGCAGAAGAAGCACCGGCCAACUAUGUG